UAUAAUCUUUUAAUUCGUUUUAAAAUUUAUAACCACAUUAUACAUUUGUAUUAAUUUAUGAUAAACUCGUUUUCAUGGAACAUGGACAUCGUUCUAAUUUUUUAUCCAUUAAUUUAGCAAAACUGCAAAUACUCCCUAAAUCAUUGGACUAACCACUAUAAAAUUGCUAUUUCCUAGAGAAACGGAGACAACAAAGGUUCCAAACCUCUUUGAACUUCAUCAUAUUUUAUUACAUGAUUCAAAUAUGUAUUAAAACAGUAUUUUCAAUUUUUUUGAGUUUUUCUCAAAAUCUAUGUGUUAACCCCUA